AAAGGUGCACUUAGCUGUGCUUAAUUGGGAAUGUGAGUGAGAAUCUCCGACUGUCCCGCAGCAGUGAACUCCAUUAUGGCUCCUAAGCAUAAACGCCAUUGUCCGUUUGGAUGAGAAGGCGCUUGGGAGUGGAGGAAAGUCUGAAGACCAGCCUUUUUCGGUU
rnacentral:ncRNA from 1 species